AAGUUAGAAAUGAUUGUCUUAAAUUCAACAAGCAAUUAGUUGUAUAUUAAAAGAAUACUGAACGCAACAGAAAGGCAGAACUCAGUACACU